UGGCUGUCGUCAGCUCGUGUCGUGUAGAUGUUGGGUUAAGUCCCGCAACGAGCGCAACCCCUCGCAUUCAGUUGCCAUCGGGUAAUGCCGGGCACUCUGGAAGGACUGCCAUCGACAAGAUGGAGGAAGUGGGGAGUGACGUCAAGUCAUCAUGGCCCUUAUGUCCAGGGCGACACACGUGCUACAAUGGCCGGCACAACGGGAAGCGAGUUCGCGAGGACGAGCGGAUCCCUCAAAGCCGGUCGCAGUUCGGAUUGAAGUCUGCAACUCGACUUCAUGAAGCUGGAAUCGCUAGUAAUCGUGGAUCAGCCAAGCCGCGGUGAAUACGUUCCCGGGCCUU
rnacentral:rRNA from 1 species